UGUUAUAGAGUAUACCUACUAAUUUUUGCAAUAAUGGAGAAAACCUUCACAUUUUUUCUCUGAACACACUUCCUGCUUAUGGCUAGUUCUGUCAUGACCCAAACCAACAUUACCACUGAUCAAUUAGCUCUUCUCUCCUUAAAAUCUCAAAUUAUUUCGGACCUCUUUCAGUUCUUAGAUAAAAGUUGGUCUCCCGCUAUUUUUGUUUGUCAUUGGGUAGGAGUCACUUGUGGUUCUCGUCACCAGCGAGUGAAGUCCUUGAAUCUUUCUAACAUGGCUCUUACAGGAAGUAUUCCCCGUGAAUUCGGAAAGCUCACAUUUCUUCUUUCUCUUGACUUGGAAAGCAACAAUUUCCAUGGAAAUUUGCCUCAAGAAAUGACACACUUGAGUCGGCUCAAGUUUCUUGAUUUAAGUUUCAACAACUUCAUAGGGGAGAUUCCUUCUUGGUUUGGGUUUUUAUACCGACUUCAAGUUCUUAAUAUUAGAAAUAAUCGUUUCACUGGUUCCAUCCCUUGUUCAUUUUCUAAUAUUUCCACACUUGAUACUUUGAAUCUGAAUUUCAAUUCCAUAGAGGGCCAAAUACCAAAAGUGAUUGGAAGUCUUAUAAACCUUAGAGAAUUAAAGUUGAGGGGUAACAAGCUCAUAGGUUCUGUUCCUCUGUCACUCUCGAAUGCCUCGAGGUUGGAGACUUUAGAUAUAUCUUCUAAUUCACUUCAAGGAAACAUCCCAGAAGGGAUUGGCAAUCUUCACAACAUGAACUGGUUGUCCAUACAAUAUAAUCAACUUAUGGGUUCUAUACCAUUUACAAUUUUCAAUAUUUCUAGGAUCGAAUUCAUUGCAUUUACUGGCAAUAGUUUAUCAGGAAGUCUUCCCAAUGGUUUAUGUAAUGGUCUCCCAAUACUCAAAGGGCUUUAUCUAUCCGGAAACAAGCUUUACGGUCAUAUGCCUACAAGCUUGUCAAAUUGUUCACAACUACAAGUAUUGACUUUAUCAAAAAAUGAGUUUGAUGGACCAAUACAUAGUGAAAUUGGAAGAUUGAGUAACUUGCAGCAAUUGUAUCUCGGAUAUAACCAUUUCACAGGUGAAAUACCCAAAGAAAUAAGAAUCUCAUUGAGUUGGAAAAACUUGAUCUUCAGAGUAAUAGAUUCAGUGGUCCACUCCCAAUGGAGAUCUUCAACAUAUCCGGGCUGAGAGCGAUUGCUCUUACAAACAAUAAACUAUCUAGAAGCCUCCCAUCAAACAUGUGUUCUACCUUACCCAACAUUGAAGAACUUUAUCUGGGUUUAACCAAUCUUGUUGGGACUAUUCCUCAUUCCAUCUCCAAUUGUUCAAAACUUACUAUUCUAGAGCUUUCAGGCAACAAACUCACUGGCUUGAUUCCCAAUUCUCUUGGAUAUUUGACUCAUCUACAGUUACUAAAUCUAAAGGAAAACAAUUUAACUAGCGACUCAUUAUUAAGCUUUCUGACUUCUUUAACCAAUUGCAGAAAUUUAACAGUUCUUUCUCUAUCUUUCAACCCUCUAAACGGCAUGCUUCCUGCCUCCGCCAGGAACCUUUCCACAUCUCUUUUAAAGUUUCACGCCAAAAGUUGUAAAAUCAAAGGGCGAAUUCCAAAUGAAAUUGGGAACUUAAGCAGCUUACUGUUCCUUGAUAUGUCUGAAAACAAUUUGGUUGGAAGAUUGAGAAACCUUCAGUGCUUCAACUUGACUAACAACAAAAUUACAGGGUUUAUUGGUGAUCAUAUAUGUAAAUUGCAGCAUUUGGGUGAAAUUUACUUGGGUCAAAAUCAACUUUCAGGAUCUCUUCCUAAUUAUUUAGGGAAUAUUACUUCCCUUAGGGAGAUACAUCUCAGUUCCAAUAAAGUGAGUUCCAAUAUAUCACCAAAUUUAGGGAACCUUCAAGAUCUAGUGGUUCUUGACUUAUCGUCAAACAACAUGGUGGGUUCUUUACCUCCAGAAAUUGGAAAUCUAAAGGUUGUAACAAAGAUGAAUCUAUCGAUGAAUCAAUCGAUGAAUCAAUUCUCAAAUGGAAUUCCUAGAGAAAUUGGAGGAUUGCAAAAUUUGGUGUACCUUUCUUUGAGACACAACAAGUUGCAAGGAUCUAUACCUGACUCAGUGAGCAACUUGGUAGGUUUGGAAUUCCUAGACCUUUCUCAUAAUAACAUAUCUGGAAUCAUUCCCAUGUCUUUGGAAAAACUUCAAAACCUGAAGUAUUUCAAUGUUUCUAUCAACAAAUUGUAUGGUGAAAUACCCUCAGGAGGUCCUUUCAUGAUCCUCUCGAGUCUGGUUUUCAUCUACAAUGAAGCAUUGUGUGGUUAUUCAAGAUUUAGUGUCCCAUCAUGCACAACAUCAUCAAAGCCCAAAUCAAAUAGGAAAAAAUUGCUAGUUCUAUACCUUUUUCUUGGACUUGCAAUUUUAUUUGUUCCUAUCAUAUUUGUGUUUUUAUGGAGAAGGUAUAGAAGAGGUAAAAGAGCUCCUCAACAAGCAGAUUCAUUGUCUACCAUAACACGAGAAAGAAUUUCAUACUAUGAACUGCUCCAAGCAACAGAUGACCUUAGUGAGAGUAAUCUGAUUGGUUCUGGAAGUUUUGGCUCUGUUUACAAAGGCAUUCUCAGAUGUGGAACUGCCAUUGCAGUUAAAGUGUUCAAUUUGCAACUGGAUGUGGCAUUCAAGAGUUUUGAUACAGAAUGUGAAGUUUUGCGUAGCCUUCGCCAUAGGAAUCUCGUAAAAGUCAUUACUAGUUGUUCCAAUCUUGAUUUCAAGGCAUUAGUUCUUGAUUAUAGGCCUAAUGGGAGUCUUGAGAAGUAUUUGUAUUCGCACAACUAAUUCCUCGACAUCAAGCAGAGACUAAGCAUAAUGAUUGAUGUGGCAUGUGCUUUGGAAUAUCUUCACCAUGGGUGCUCGUUGCCUGUGAUUCACUGUGACGUGAAGCCUAGUAACGUCUUGCUGGAUGAAGAUAUGGUUUCCCACCUAAGCGACUUUGGCAUUUCAAAACUGCUUGGUGAAGAUCAGGGUGAAUAAUACACUAAAACCUUAGCAACAUUAGGUUAUAUUGCGCCAGAGUAUGGACUGGAUGGACUAGUGUCAACAAAGUGUGAUGUCUAUAGUUAUGGGGUCAUGUUGCUUGAAACAUUUAUUAGGAGAAAGCCUAAUGAGUUUGAGGGAGACCUUAGCUUGAAGCAAUGGGUGAGUUACUCACUUCCAGAUGCAGUAAUGGUCGUCAUAGAGGCCAACUUGUUAACACCAACGGGUAAUCGCUUUCAGAAGGAGCUAGAUCUUGUGGCUUCAAUCAUGAAAGUGGCAUUAGAUUUUUGUGCUGAAUCUCCGGCAAGAAGGACUAACAUGAAAGAUGUCGUAGGAAUGCUACAGAAGAUCAAUAUUCAACUUCUCGCAUGUUGAACAUUGUUGCAAAGUUUUAUAAUUGUUCUCUUUUAUCUUUUAGUACUUGAUUUGUGCAUGAUUCUGUAUUCAGAAAUUCUAGCUGGUUGCAAUAAAUCUGAUUGUUACCUUUUGCUAUGAAUGUUGCAUAAGGGCGGAACUUGAAAAUCUUGAAACAGAAUAUUUUUUUAAAAAAGAAACUGUCAGAGGAAUUAACAAGUAGGAGUGCGCAAUAUCCCCUUAUGUUUGUCCCUCAUCGUCCAAAUUACCGACAAAAUUUGGAGGGAGACUGGCUAUGCUCAUCUGGACUUUACAUGGUGCAGCCUUGUGACAGAAUCCUUAAAAAAUACACUACUUUUGGAAGAUCAAACACGCACCAUCGAUAUUUUUGAGGAGUCCAGGAAACAUAGACAUUCAGUCUAUUGCAAGUAUCUUGUGGCAACAAGAAAGUUUUCUUAGCUGAAAUUCUCUUGAUUUACAAAUUACACAUUAAAAUAUAAAACAAUUAAACUUGUAAACUAAAUGUACUUCUAUCCCCCUUUAGUUUCCUCCAUAAUAUGCUGUGCUAUUAGUUCUUUUGUCUAACUUACAUUUGUUGAAAAUGGGAUUUGUUGUGUGUGUAUGUAUAUACUUGCAUCCAGAGGCAGAUCUAGGGUGAGUUCAACUGAAUUCAUUAUUUUCUUCUCGAACUUUGUGUAUACGGAAAAAAAGAAUCGUACUCACUCUGAACAUGUUGACUCUAGAUUCUAUAUUCACCUCUGGAUCGAUCCUUUUGCUUAACUGGAGCAACAUCCACCUUUCUUAACAGCAGUUACAUCAUAUUUUCCGAUGUUAAUCGUUUGUCCUCCUGGUACAGAUGCCGUAUCAUCUCCUAUAUCAAGUGCUUUUCGACUAACCACUCAAUAAAUCUGAGCGAGUACUUCUGUGAAGGAGUUUUCUACAUUGAGUGCCUCAAGUGCAGAUGUCUCCAUGAAGAAAGUUUCUGCAAAACCACUUGAUUCGCCCGUGGGGUUUCUGCAAAACCACUUGAUUCGCCCGUGGGGACAGCUCUGAGGUGGUGAAGAUCCGCCUUAUUCCCCACGAGCAUUACAACGAUGUUUUGGUCUGUGUGGUCUCUCAAUUCUUUGAGCCAUCUUGCUACAUUUUCAAAUGUUACAUGGCGUGUUAUGUCGUAAA